AGAGAGUUUUCCACUAAGAGAUUACCGCCAUGAAGUAAAUUUUAUGAAAUCAACGGGUAAGUAUAAGAUAUUAUGAAAGUUCUUAAUUCAUUGUUAAAUUUAUAAAUGAAAACCACUUUUUCGAUAAAACUAACACUUCUUAUUGUUAUUUUUAAAAGUAAUAUUAUCGUUAUCUUAUUUUCAUUACACUCAUUUGAGUCACUAGUUAUGACUAAGGACUAUAACUUGUAAGACAAGUAUUAACGGCUAUAAUUAUAUGAUCAUAGAAGGCCGUACCUAGGAGGGUACUCUCCUUGGAAAUUUUCUUGCAUUACACAAAUUAAAAAUUUAACAUCCUUUUUUUUUUAUUAUUAAUAAAUAAUAAUAUAGCAUUAUACCACAAACAAUUGCAAUAUAGCGCGAAGUACUUGAAACAUAUUCUGUAGCUGAAACUUAUUUUCAAACAAUUAUUUUACCUUGCCAACUGCAGCGCCCGAAAGGACAUUUUAUUCUCUAAAAAUAAUUAAGAACUAUUUGCUAAAUAUAUAUACCACUGAAGAUAGACUAAUUGGUUUAGCAUUACUUUAUGUACAUAGUACAUAAAAAUAUCCAUGUAAAUCCUGAGGUACUUAGUGAUCAACUGUACUUUAAAAUAAAAAAAGAAAUAUUUAAAAUUUGUGCUGUAAAAUUUAAUUAAAUUUUAUAAUAUGUAUUA